AGCUCAACUGGAUAGAGCAUCGGUCUUCGGAACCGAGGGUCGGGAGUUCGAAUCUCUCGCGGCGCGCCA
rnacentral:tRNA from 1 species